UGACCAACUUUGAGUUUAAUAUUACUAAUUUGAGUAUAACACUAUCAAUCUAAACUAAUAAAAAUGAAUACAAUUUAAAUUGAGUACCUUUAGAAACUGUGUUGAGUUUGAGGUGAUUGUUCAUUAAUAUCGGUUGACUUUGGGUUAACCAUUAAUCCUGUGCAACUAGCCCAAGGUCGGAUUUAUGGUUAAGCCAAGUUUAACCGGAUCACCCUUAAAAAAUGAGGUUAGAUUAAAUGAUGGUUUAUUAAUUCCAGUAGAGUUUGGAUUAGCCAUCAAUUUGAUUCAAUCUGUCCAAGUUGCAACCCAAUGCUAAUUAACCUCCAUAACCGAAGGUGCUGGCACAGCAGGCCAAUAUGCUCCCCCAUAUCUGCGUAAGCACCAAAGACCCAUAACUGUAAUUCAAAGCUUCCAAACUGACAUCUUUUUUUUUUUUUGCUUUUUUAAUCUGGGACUUGAUACAGCAACUGCCUGCUACGGCAACGAUGUGUCUAAGUUCCCAUCAAGCAACUUAUUUGCGUCAGCCGGAGAUGGGAUAUGGGACAAUGGGGCAGCGUGCGGCAGGCAGUACUUUGUCAUGUGCUUGAGUGCACAAACUCCAGGGACAUGCAAAGCUGGUCAGAUCAUAAAAGUGAAGAUAGUUGAUAAAGCCUCUAGGAAUGGAGUGAUCCUUGUUCUUUCUACUAUUGCAUUUGGGGCUAUUGCUAAUCCUUCUGCUGCUUCGGUUAACGUAGAGUUUACCGAGUAAGUGUCAUCCCUUUUAAUAUUAAUUACAUUGAAUUAUCUUUCAGGUAAUUAAUUUUUUUAAGAAUUAUUUCUGCUGGAAUUUUUAAUGUUCUUGUGUGGUGCUUGAUGUGCGUGCAGGGCUUGAGGGUAUCAAUACGGAUCUACGUCUGAGGGAGGUUUCUUUCUGCUAGUGAGGUUUCCAUUCUAUGUUUUUCUUGUCCACUGCAAACCCUAAGCAAAAGCGAGCGACUUUCGAAUUUCGAUAAAGGUACCAGUUUUAGCUUGAAGUCUUUUAAAUUAAAAUACAUGGAUAUUUGCGAAAUUCAACUUCGGUUUCUGUGAUUACAUGGCUGUGUUUUUAGCAAUGUUUUAAAAACCGGACCGGACCGGCCGGUCCAACCGGUUCAACCGUCGACCGGUCACAUUUCCGGUCCGGUCCUCUCUAUUAAACCGUUAAACUAUUAAACCGGUUACGAACCGCCUGAACCAGCGGUCGAACCGGUGAACCGGUAGAACCGAACGGUUCUAAACAAACCGAACAGUCCAUAUUGGCCCAUCAUUUUGCAAGCCCAUUGUAUAAAAUAUUAAAAGUUGUAGGCCAAAAACCAUACUGGGCCAUGUCUUUGCAUAACAAAGCCCACACCCAAACCAUUUAAGUAGGCUCAAUCAUGAGCCCACAAGGUGGAUGCUGUAGCUUUCAACAAGGAUGCCUUUUAUAGGCAUCCUUUGCACCCUUUUUUCUCUCACAAACCGAUGUGGGAUUGCAAACUAUGAAUGAAAAAAAUUUAACAAAUGCAACAAGAGGAUUUGAAGUUGGGACCUCAGGUUCUGAAGUGCAUUAGGACACCACUCGGCUACACUGAUUUGUUAUUUGAUAUGCCAAACAAAACAAUAUAUAUUGGAUUUUAAUUUUUUUAUAAUAUUAAAUAAAAAUAAUAUAAUAUUUUUAAAAAUUAUAAAUUAGUUAAAAUUUUCAUUUUUAAUAUAUUCACAUUUAAAUAUUGUAUACAUUUCAUUUAAUAUGAUUUAAUUUGAUAAUAUCAAAUAUAUAAAAUAAUAUUAUUGAUGUUUAAUUUAUUCAUAUAUAUUUUAAAAUUUUUAUAAUUAUUUUUAAUUUUAAUAAUAUAUAUAAAUUAUAUAUUUAUGACGUCACCGGUUCGAUAGCGGUUCGACCGCCGGUCCGACCAGUGAACCGUGAACCGGUAACUUUUCCGGUUCGAUCACCGGUCCGGUUCUGAAAACAUUGGUUUUUAGUAAAUCAAUUUAUGUGAGUCUUGCAUUUUGGUGGUUGUGUUAAUAAGUGGAGUUCUUUUGAGUUUUUGAGAGUUGAGGAAUAUCCAGAGGUUAAGCUUUUCCGAUGAGCGGUAAAUGCCAGAACUUUCAUGAUUGUCGUUCAUGCCUUUUUCCGAUGAAGAUCCAGGCCAAUGACUAGCCGUAAAGCACCUAAAUGCCAACCUACCAGAUUCAGUGGUUUUUUUAGGCCUAUACGGCCGGAUAGAAAGGUACUUUCUCUCUCUUUUUGGCCUAUACAUUUUGCUGGGUUGUUAGUUUUAAUGCUUCUUGUGCUAGAUGAAUUCAUUCUCUGCGUAAAAUGGUUACAUGUGAAUGGUUACAUACACGCACACACGCUCUCGAGGUUUUAUGACACCAUAUCAUAAUGUAUGCAAUUAGUUGAGUGAUUUUCGUAGUGAUGGUAAAGCUGGAGGAAAAGAGGAGAUAUUCAACCAAUGUCAUGCAAGAUUAAGAAAUGCCAUUGAACGUGCUUUUGGUGUUGUUAAGUCGUAUUUCCCAAUAUUGAAGAGAAUGACACCUUAUUCGUUUACUACUCAAAACAAAAAUUGUUAUGACAUGCUUCUCCGUUCACAAUUUUCUUCGACAAAUCUCAGUUGCGGAUAGAUUAUUUUCUGAAUAUGACAAUGAAGUGGAGUUGAAAAGUGACAAUGCAAAUCAACUUCAAAACUCAACUACAAGCAGUUUUUUUGCAGCAUCUGAUCAAGAAUUCAUGCAACAGUUCUGAGACCAAAUUGCAAAUGAGCUUUUUCAAGUAUUUUAUUAAUUUGUUAUUUUUAGCUUUUUACCAUCGGAAGAAAUGCAAUGUUUGGAUUUUAACAUAUAAUGUGAUGUCUUUAGAUAUUUGAAAAUAUGUACUUGAAUUGUCAUGUUUUUUCUUUAAUUUGAUUUGGGUUUUAUCAAUCCAUUAUUUUUCAGAUUAUUAAGUUUAAAUAUUUUAUUUUACUUAUGUAAAAAAUAAAUAUGUUAAUUAUUUUUUGUAAGGAUGAUAAUAAUAAAUUAUUUAUUACAAUAAUUUUAUGAUUUUGAACUUUUUAGAAAUAUGUUAAAUUAUAUUUUUUUAAUACAUUAAAUUAUUAAGAUAUUGGUAUUUAGUACAUAAAAAAAAAAUAGCUUAAUAUUUAAUAGAAAUAAAAUAAUAAAAAAAAUAAAAAACUUAAUAUUUAAUACUAUUAAGUAUUAUUUAGUAUUAAGUUAAAUAUUACUUCUAAAAUAGAAUCAAUCUUUUACAUUAAGAAAUCUAUAUGUUUUAUGAUUUUUAGCAUAUCCCAAAAACAUCUAUUUGAUACCUUUAAGACCUAUUUUAUUUCAAUUCAAAAUGUAUUCUUAAAUAGAUUAAAUUUGGUUCUCUGUUUUUUUUUCCCGUAAUUCAUAUGGUAUUUUUUACAAAGCUUUAUACCAUAGAUGACGACCAAUUUGGAAAACUUCACUAGCAAUUUCUAUUAGUGUUGUAUUCUUUAAUUCUAUUCUACCAUUUUGAUACACGCGAUGAUCAAUUAAUUAAAAGCCUGACACAUGGUAAUGUAAGAACCCCUUCAUUUUCGAAGCAGGUUAUGCUUGUUAUUUAGAGCCAUUGCGGGCUCUGGGUAUAUCAGCCACAGUUAUGCAUAACCAGCAGCUUUAGUACCCUAUAUAUGCUUUGGAAAAUGGUUUUGAAUCAUCACCUGAUGCAUAUUCUUGAACCAUAUUGUCCACCUCAAUUGAACUACACCCUGGUGUCUUGUUCAUGUACUUACUACUCAUGAGUUUCCUCAUCCUCGAUACACCAUCCCCCUUUCCCAAGUCUGCAUAAAGAUUUGAAAGCAAGACAUGGUUCCCCGUAUCGUCUGGUUCAAGCUCCAGCAGUAGCAGAUGCUCCAUUGCAAUGGCUGCAAUCUUGAGAUUGCCGUGACUUCUGCAGGAACUCAAUAACAAACCCCAAAUAGCCGAAUUCGGCUUCAUUGGCAUCUUCUUUAUGAGUUCAAAAGCCUGAUCAAGGCGCCCAGAAAGACCAAGAAGAUUGACCAAACAACCAUAAUGCUCAACCCCUGGUUCUAUAUUGUCAUCUCUUUCCAUUGACUCAAAGUACCCCAAUCCCUCAUUCAAAAGGCCAGCAUGGGCACAAGCUGAUAAAAGACCAACAAAGGUGAUGAUGUUGGGUUCCACCUUUGCCUUCUGCAUUUCUUGAAACAAUUCAAUAGCUUCACGAGCUCUUCCAUGAUUUGCUAGCCCUACAAUCAUUGUACUCCCAAGAUAUCACAUCCCUCUCAUUCAUCUGAUCAAACAGGCGACGCCCUUCAUCCAUACUUCCACGUUUUGCAUACACUUCGAUCAAAGCAUUACAAACACAAAUGUCGCGCAAAAACCCGGCUUUAUCUGCAUAAAUACGUAUCCAUUUCCCUAACUCAAGAGCUCCCACCUGGGCACAAGCUGGCAAAACAGAAACAAGACUGAUCUCAUCAAGCUCCAUACCCACCAUUUGCAUUCUCCGGAAAAAUUCCAAUGCGACCAUACCCGGAAACGAUAGCUGUCUUGAGAUUAAAUUUUUAAAAAAUAUUAGUAAAAAAAAAAUCAAUAGUUUGAAAAUUUUACCAAAUCAAAUGUAAAGAGUGAGAAUUUCAAAAAUUAAAUUUAAAAUUAGUGAAAAAUUUAAAUAUCAAAUAAUUGAGAUUAAAUUUUGAAAUUUUGAAUAUUAAGUAUAUUGUGAUAAUUAAUUUAAUUAUUAAUAGGUAAUUAUUAGAGAAUUGCGGGGAGAAAAAUUUGGUAAAAAUUUAUAUUAUAUCAAAUUAUUAUAAUAAAUAAUUAAAAAAAAUUGAAUUUAAUUUUAUAACAAACCAAUUUAGUUUUUAUAAUUGAAAUUAAACUUUAUAGAAUUACAAAACAUCAAACGGAGUUGAAUUGAAAUUAAAUUAUGAUGAGUGAAUUUAAAAAAAAAAUAUAGACAAAAAGGUAAAUUAAUUAAAUGUGAAUUUAGUGAACUCAACUUUUGAAAGUUUGAUGCAACGAAUUUGACAAAUGAAGUAAAUUAAAUAAAGGUUAUAAUAAAUAGUUGAGAAUUUGAUUUUUAUAAAUUGAAUGACUAAAUAAUUUAUAGAAUUAAGUUUUAGAAGAUUGCUUAAAUUUUUGUUGGUAAAUAAAUAUUGGUAAAAUUAAUGAGUUAAAGUUUAUUCUUCAUUCCUUGGAUGUCAAAGAAUUAUUUUAUUUUUUAUACAUUUUACGACAUUGAAAUUUUUUAAGAGUUAAUGAAAUCAUGUCCUAAAUGAAUUUUAGAGUAAAAAUGUUUCAAGUAAUUAAAGUCAAAUCAUUAACUAUUAAAAAAAACCAAAUAAUUUUCACAAUUUUAAUUUUAAAACCAAAAUAAAAAUAAUAAUAAAAGUAGGAAUCAAAUGCAUCCUAGGUUAUAUGUUUUCAGAAAUUAAUGUAAAAAUUCUUUCUUUGGAAUUCAAAGUAGUGUAUUACAAUGAUUUUAAGAAACUUUUUCAACUUAAAAAGUGUUUUUGAAAAAAAAAAUUAUAGAAAAAUUACUCUCUAAAAAUACUUUGAAUUUUAGAGCACAUUUAAUAAUAUUUUUACUCAAAAUAUUUUUAAUGAAAAUAUUUUCUUUGAAAGUAUUAGAAUGUAUUUGAUAAUAAUUUUAAAAAACGUUUUUAUCAUUUUUAAUACUUGAAUAAUAAAAAAUUUCAAGUAUAAGAAAAAUUAAAAACGAUUUUUAAAAUUACUAUUAAACAUGUUUUUAAUAAAAUAAUCAUCUAUAAAAUAUUUAUUCAAAAAAUAUUGUAAGUGAUUUUUUAACUAUAAAAGUGAUUCUUUAGAUUUUUAAAAGUAUUUUCUAAAUUUUAUUAAAUAAAUUUUUUUUUUUCAAAAGCAUUUUUUGCAUACGCUAAAAGGGCUUUCUAGAACCUUGGCGGAACCUACUUUAAUUGAAUUUCGGUCCAAACAUAUUAAGAAAAUACAUUUGAAAAUAUGGAGGUCAAGAAUCUGGAGUGUGGUGUUAGCCAAUGCCUUGAAUGAAUACUUGCGUUGGAGACUAAUUAACUCACAUCACAAAUAAGACAACAAGUGAGAGAAUUGACAAAAAUAAUAAUAUAAUAGAGAAUAUGAUAUCCCAAAAUCAAGCUUCUAUUUCCAUUGUCAUUGUGGUGCCUUGCUUUUCAAUCUACGUGUUAUCUCACCAACCGCCUUUCUACUGUUCUUCUAUUCGUUAACUUCAUGUUACGAGUUCCUAUUCACCAAACUCUUUCAAACUAAUCUUAAUUAUUCAAAACUUACAACCCAUCAACCCUUGGCCACAAGCACACAUGUUUUUCGUGGCUGUUCAAGUUGUCAAACUACCGCACACAAAUGUUUUGAAAAUUAAACAGAAAAAUUUUCAAAUGGUUGGAUUGAUAAUUUUGGUGGAUUUGAUAAUUUUGUUUCAUUGAUAUAGUUAGCAAUCCCACAUGGAAUUCUGAGAGGAAUAAGGAUGCCUUGUGGGCUCAAGACUCAGCCCCAAAUGGUUGGGUUGGGUGUGGUCAUGAUAAGAGAGGCCCAAGCCCAAGCAUGGGCUUUUGCCAAAAUUUUUAUACAAUGGAGCUUUACAUAUAAUUGGAAGCAGGGCACAAAUGGCCGGUGGGAAGGGUGGGUGGGGGACCUUAGAUCAGUUGAAUAACACCAAAGAUAACGAACUUGAAUAACACCAAAAAGUUGAACUGUUGGCCCCACCUACUUCUCCAAGAGUUCAAGUUGGUCAAGUGUACCAAAAAAAAAAACAAAAUUGUGAAACUAAAUAAUAUAUGGUGAAGGUAUGGCAUAUUUACUAUUGUAUUCUGAAAACCAUUAGAGAGACACAUGUCGGAGAGAGAGAGUGAACACCUCCGAUUGGCCUUGCUUUUCAUAUUAUCAGGGCUUCUUCAUGUCUGCUCAGGAGAUGUUGGCACAGCAGGCCAAUAUACACCCCCAUAUCUGCGUAAGUGCCAAAGACCCAUAACUGCAAUUCAAAGCUUCCAACACAUACUUUUUUUUCUUUUUCUUUUUUUAAUUUGGGGAAUGAUACAGCAACUGAGUGCUACGGCAACGAUGUGUCUAAGUUCCCAUCAAGCAACUUAUUCGCGUCGGCCGGAAAUGGGAUAUGGGACAAUGGGGCAGCGUGCGGCAGGCAGUACUUUGUCAGGUGCUUGAGCGCGCAAACUCCAGGGACAUGCAAAGCUGGUCAGGUCAUAAAAGUGAAAAUAGUUGAUAGAGCCUCUAGGAGUGGAGAGAUCCUUGUUCUUUCUACUAUUGCAUUUGGGGCUAUUGCUAAUCCUUCUGCUGCUUGGGUUAGCAUAGAGUUUGCAGAGUAAGUGUCAUCCCUUUUAAUAUUAAUUACAUUGAAUGAUCUUUCAGGUAAUUAAUUUUUUUUUAAAAUUAUUUCUGCUGGAAUUUUUAAUGUUCUUGUGGGCCGCUUGAUGUGCGUGCAGGGCUUGAAGGAGGGAGCUCUUUGUAGAUCGGAUGGGUUUGCGAUGAGGGAGAAGGUUUUUUGGUUUUUCUUAAUGUUUUGGAUCCUUUUGUAAGGGGGUGAGUGGUUUUUUUGUGUUUCUUCGUUGUUUUGGAUCUUUUUGUAAAGGGUGAGUGUCUCUAUACCGCAAUUCUGUGGGUUGCUUCAAUGCAAUACAAUCCUCACAAAUAAAUAAAUAAAUAAAGUCUUGAGGGAGCUGCCUUUUUGCUAAUGAGGUUUCCAUUCUAUGUUUUUAGCUCGAGGUCUUUCAAUUUCGGUUUCUGUGAUCACAUCGCUGUGUUUUUUUUUAAAUCAAUGUAUGUGAGUCUUGCGUUUUGGUGGUUGUGUUACAUAAGUGGAGUUCUUUUGAGUUUUUGAGAGUUGAGGAAUAUCCAGAGGUUAAGCUUUUCCGAUGAGCGGUAAAUCCCGGAAUUUUCAUGAUUGUCGUUCAUGCCUUUUCCGAUGAAGAUCCAGGCCAAUGACUAGCCGUAAAGCAUCUAAAUGCCAGUGUUUUUUUUUUUUUUUGGCCUAGUGCAACCCAACUUGUAUGUGAUGACAAAUUACAUUUCAAAGCGGUGGGGCCACCAAGGCGCCGACCUUGUCCAAUUAUCUUAGGCUUUUUUUUUUCUUUUGUUAUUAUUAUAGUAUGGUAAAAAUAUUGCUUCAAAAUAAUUCUUAGGUUCAACCUUUUCCAUUUUCUUCUUGAUUUUGAUUUAUCUAAUAUUUUUAGAUCUUGAUUAUCAAUUUUUUUUUUUGUUGAGAAUUUUCUUUAUUAUUUUCUAAAAUUGAAUCUUUCAAUUCCUUGUUUGGUUCUAAACAAUGAAUGUCUUUAAUUACUAAAUAUUGGUAAAAUUAUGCUGAUAUUGCUUCUAAAAUAGAAUCAAUCUUUUAUGUUAAGAAAUCUACAUGUUUUAUGAUUUUUAGCAUAUCCCAAAAACAAAUGAAUUCUUUCAAGUAUUUAAUUAACUUGUCAUUUUUAGUUUUUUACUAUUAUAAAAAAUGUAAUGUUUAGAUAUUCACAUAAAAUAUGAUAUCUUUGGAUAUUUGAAAAUAUGUACUUGAAUUGUUAUGUUUUUUUUUCUUUAAUUUGAUUUAGGUUUUAUCAAUUCAUUAUUUUAAAUAUUUUAUUUUAAUUAUAUAAAAAAUAAAUAUAUUAAUUAUUUUUUGUAAGGAUGAUAUUGACAAAUUAUUUAUUAUAAUAAUUUUAUUAUUUUUAAUUUUUUAAAAAUACUUUAAAUUAUAUAUUUUUUAAUAUAUUAAAAUAUUAAGAUAUUGAUUUUUAGUAUAUAAAAAAAUAAAUAGUUUAAUAUUUAAUAAAAAUAAAAUAUUCAAAAGACAAACAACUUAAUACCAUUAAAUAAUAUUUAGUAUUAAAGUGUCAUUUAUUUUUUUACUUAAUUUAAAUAGAAUUUUAAUGUUUAAUAAUGUUAAAUAUUAGAUUGUUUGUGUUUAUAAUAUUUUAUUUGUAUUAAGUAUUAAAAAAAAUUAAUAUAUUAUUUUUUUUAUUUAAAAAAAGUUAUAUAUUUUAGUUUUUUUAUUUAAUAAAAAAUUUAUAAUAAAUUAUAAAAAAAAACAAAAAAAAUAAAAACCAAACCACCGAAAACAAAUUAUUUUCAAUAAAAAUUCUCAUAAACAAACAAUAGCUGAAUCAGCUGAUAGGUACUCACGCUGCUGAUUAUUGAGUCAAUGAUGGGGCUCUGACCCAGUUCCAUAAAGGGUUGUACGAGUUCUCAGAAUGGAUUGACAAUUGCUUACACCUCCAAAGCUGAUAGGUACUCACGCUGCUGAUUAUUGAGUCAAUGAUGGGGCUCUGACCCAGUUCCAUAAAGGGUUGUACGAGUUCUCAGAAUGGAUUGACAGCUUACACCUCCAAAGCUGAUAGGUACUCACGCUGCUGAUUAUUGAGUCAAUGAUGGGGCUCUGACCCAGUUCCAUAAAGGGUUGUACGAGUUCUCAGAAUGGAUUGACAACUGCUUACACCUCCAAAAACCCUUUUUCUCCGUUGCUGAUGCAAGCAUCUCGCUGUCUUUCACUCAACCCCCCCUUUGUUAUUCCCGUGUCUCUAGCUCCUUCAUCUGUCUCUCUGUCUCUCUGCCGCCAUAAGACAAUGGAGGUGGUGCAAGUGGCUGGAGUUAAAACCCCUUCUGCAUUCAUUUCCAAAUCCCUAUCACACGCUUCCAAGCACGCCUUACGGUAAAAACCCACGUCACUCCCACCACAUCCCUAUCCCACUCAGACCACUCUCUGCACAACCCAGAUUGCCUGGUUUAUGAACCACCCUCAUCCUCUUCCCUCUCUCUCUCUCUCGUCACCCCUUUUCUUUUCAUUUUUUCUCUUUAGGCUGACCUUGAUGACAUAAUGGACCAUGACAUGUCACGCACUCUCCUUAGAAUAGAAUUUAGUUAGUUAUUAAGCGAAAAAGUGUAAAGGUGUUUUGAUUUUUUAUUUUUUUUUAUCCUUUUUGGAGCAAAUUAUGGUCCUUUCUCCAAAAACUAACUAACUACAUAUAUAUUUGAAAAUCUGGGAAUUAUUUUCUUUAAAAAUAAAAACAAUUUUUAAAUAAUUUGUUUAUAAAUUUAUUUUUUUAAUAUUCAAUUACCAUAUAAAAAUGUAAAAAAAAAAAAUUAUUAUGAUCAUUUUUACAUUUUCGAAAAUAAAAUGGAAUCAAAAGAUAAGAUCAUUAAAAUUAAUUAAUUAAUUAUAAUUUUAUUUUAGUAUUUUACCUUUUGUAUGGAGAUGGUAAGAGAUUUUAUUAAUAAAGUUUAUAUAUAUGUGAGGGCAAAAUUAGGAGAAAUAUAGAAAAUAUCAAUAAAUUCAUAGAGAUAUAGAUGGUAGUGGCCAACUUUUAGGUGAAUGAAUUUUUUUAAUCAAGGUCAACUAAUACACGGAUUUUGAAAUAUUGCAUUGAAAUUUUGGGGUAUUUUCAACUUUGCCUACAUGUUAUUUUUUAGAACUUUAAGUUACUUUCAAAAAAAAAAAAAAUAGAGAUGUGAAAAAUAAUUAAAAAUAUAAAAAAUAUUUUAAAAUCUUUUGUAUUAUACGUAAAGACAUCACAUUUUCACAAAGAUUAAGUUGAGAAGAAUGUUUUCUUAUUUGAGUUUUAGCCAUAGGGGUGUUCAGGAAAAAUUGUUUUAGAAAAGGCUACUAUGGAUUUUACAUUUGCAAUUAAUAAAAUUGUUAAAAAGAAAGAAAAAAAGAUUCUAAGUAUAAAUAAAAAAGAUCAAAAUACUCAAAAAAAUAAUAAUGAAAAAUUUAAAUGUGAAGAAAUGAGACUAUGAUUUGAAGAAAUAGAAGCUAAUAGAAGCUAUUUUUGGCUAUAUGACUUUUAUUUUUAUUAAUACUUUCCAAUACCACAAGAAAAGUCAUUAAUUUUAAAAAUAAAAAUAAAAAUAAACCAUAAGCGACAAUCAAAUAAGAAUAUGUAAAUGAUAAUUAUAAUCAACAAUUUAUAUGAUAUUGGAUUUUGGGUUGUGUGAGUGAAGCAGAAGGAUUUUAGAAUGACUUUAUUUGAUAAUUUAGGACUUGUAAAAGCAUUUUUAGUUUGUAUUAUCUUUAUUGACAACGGUUAAAAAGAAAAAAAAACACUUUUUGGAUUAUAUUUGUUGAUAACAUUUUUAUGAAGAAAUAAUUAGUAUUUGAAUAUAAAUCAAUUUCCUACUUUCCUAAAUGCUUAAUGACCCCAUGAACUAUCUACCGACGUCAAGGUGAACUACUUUGCAUCCUAAGCCUCAGACUUUCCUUUGUGACCCUCAGACCAUGCCAUUAUAUGAUUCUCUUGUGUGGUCAAGUGGUUCACCUUUUGUUUUUUGAGACUGUACCUUAGGUACUACCUUAAUAGCCUUUAGGUACUACCUUAAUGUACCUUAGGUACUACCUUAAGGGACCGUAGGUACUACCUUAGUUAAAGUUGGGUUCUACCUUUCCCAAUCCUCAGACCUUCCUUUGUGACCCUUAAACCAUGCCAUUAUGUGAUUCUCUUGUGUGGUCAAGUGGUUCACCUUUGGUUUUUUGGGAUUGUACCUUAGGUACUACCUUAAUAGACCUUAGAUACUACCUUAAAGGACCUUAGGUACUACCUUAGUUAAAGUUGGAUUCUAUUUUUCUCAAGCUUCGGACCUUCCUUUGUGACCCUCNNNNNNNNNNNNNNNNNNNNNNNNNNNNNNNNNNNNNNNNNNNNNNNNNNNNNNNNNNNNNNNNNNNNNNNNNNNNNNNNNNNNNNNNNNNNNNNNNNNNNNNNNNNNNNNNNNNNNNNNNNNNNNNNNNNNNNNNNNNNNNNNNNNNNNNNNNNNNNNNNNNNNNNNNNNNNNNNNNNNNNNNNNNNNNNNNNNNNNNNNNNNNNNNNNNNNNNNNNNNNNNNNNNNNNNNNNNNNNNNNNNNNNNNNNNNNNNNNNNNNNNNNNNNNNNNNNNNNNNNNNNNNNNNNNNNNNNNNNNNNNNNNNNNNNNNNNNNNNNNNNNNNNNNNNNNNNNNNNNNNNNNNNNNNNNNNNNNNNNNNNNNNNNNNNNNNNNNNNNNNNNNNNNNNNNNNNNNNNNNNNNNNNNNNNNNNNNNNNNNNNNNNNNNNNNNNNNNNNNNNNNNNNNNNNNNNNNNNNNNNNNNNNNNNNNNNNNNNNNNNNNNNNNNNNNNNNNNNNNNNNNNNNNNNNNNNNNNNNNNNNNNNNNNNNNNNNNNNNNNNNNNNNNNNNNNNNNNNNNNNNNNNNNNNNNNNNNNNNNNNNNNNNNNNNNNNNNNNNNNNNNNNNNNNNNNNNNNNNNNNNNNNNNNNNNNNNNNNNNNNNNNNNNNNNNNNNNNNNNNNNNNNNNNNNNNNNNNNNNNNNNNNNNNNNNNNNNNNNNNNNNNNNNNNNNNNNNNNNNNNNNNNNNNNNNNNNNNNNNNNNNNNNNNNNNNNNNNNNNNNNNNNNNNNNNNNNNNNNNNNNNNNNNNNNNNNNNNNNNNNNNNNNNNNNNNNNNNNNNNNNNNNNNNNNNNNNNNNNNNNNNNNNNNNNNNNNNNNNNNNNNNNNNNNNNNNNNNNNNNNNNNNNNNNNNNNNNNNNNNNNNNNNNNNNNNNNNNNNNNNNNNNNNNNNNNNNNNNNNNNNNNNNNNNNNNNNNNNNNNNNNNNNNNNNNNNNNNNNNNNNNNNNNNNNNNNNNNNNNNNNNNNNNNNNNNNNNNNNNNNNNNNNNNNNNNNNNNNNNNNNNNNNNNNNNNNNNNNNNNNNNNNNNNNNNNNNNNNNNNNNNNNNNNNNNNNNNNNNNNNNNNNNNNNNNNNNNNNNNNNNNNNNNNNNNNNNNNNNNNNNNNNNNNNNNNNNNNNNNNNNNNNNNNNNNNNNNNNNNNNNNNNNNNNNNNNNNNNNNNNNNNNNNNNNNNNNNNNNNNNNNNNNNNNNNNNNNNNNNNNNNNNNNNNNNNNNNNNNNNNNNNNNNNNNNNNNNNNNNNNNNNNNNNNNNNNNNNNNNNNNNNNNNNNNNGGUACUACCUUAAGGUACCUUGGGUUCUAACAUAGUUAAGGUCCCUUAGCAUGGUUUAAGGGUCACAAAGGAAGGUUCGACAUUUGGGAAAGGUAGAACUCAACUUUAACUAAGGUAGUACCUAAGGUCCCUUAAGGUAGUAGCUAAGGUACAUUAAGGUAGUACCUAAGGGCUAUUAAGGUAGUACCUAAGGUACAGUCUUAAAAAACCAAAGGUGAACCACUUGACCACACAAGAGAAUCACAUAAUGACAUGGUCUGAAGGUCAUAAAGGAAGGUCCGAGGCUUGAGAAAGGUAGAACGCAAAUUUAACUAAGGUAGUAUUUAAGGUCUCUUAAGGUAGUACCUAAGGUAUAUUAAGGUAGUAUCUAAGAGCUAUUAAGAUAGUACCUAAAGUACAAUCCGCAAUAUAACAAUGCCACUUACAACCUUUUGCAUUUGUUAGAGCUUGCUAAGUCCAUUGAUGUCUAAGGUUCUUUCAAAAACCUACAAUUGAGUCAUUUUCCAUCGCUUUAAAUCGUUUUUAUCAUAAAAAUUAGGUAUUUAAACAAAGUUUUAUACACCUCUUAAAAUAUUUUUCAACUAUAUACGCUAUCACUAAAACCAUUCUUAAAAUACUCUUUUGAUUUUGAUGUAGUCCCAAAAUGACCUAUACGAAUUGAAAACUUGUUCUAUUAUGAUUGGAUAAGAGUUGUUGUUAUUAGAACACUUGAGAUUCAAGACAAUUUAGUCAUAGAAAAGCCCAUGACACUCGUUGUAAAGAUCAAAACACUCGUAUAACAUAGUAUAUUGUGUGAAACCAAGGUUUGAUUAAUCUUGAUUUUGAUGAUAACAAAACAAGGUUUAGAACUAAUGAUUAUAUUUCAAGUGUGAUUAGGUAAGAUGAUUUCCAAAGUGACAAUCACAAAGACAAAUCAAGCCAAGGAGAAAUCAUGAAGAAGAAGACCACCUCAAAGAGAAGUGUUUUUCAAGACCCAAGCUUCAUAAGAUCUCUUUGUAAGGUUGUUGGUGCACUAGGAUUUUCAUGCAUUACAUUCUUUACUUAUGCACUAAAAUCAUCCAAUAGUUAUUUUUUUUAAAUAUCUUAAGAAUUGGAUGAUUUCAUGUUUUCAACUAAAAUCUUGUGUUAAAUGUUUUUCAAACUUGUUUUAAAAGGUUUUAAAUUGAAAAAGUUGGGUGUUGAGCUAAAAAAUUGUUCAAUCGGUUGAACCGGGUGAGGAAUUGAUCGAUCGCAAGAUCAACCGGUCGAGGUCCGGGUCGACCCAUAGCUCAACCUGUCGAGGCCCGAGUAGACCCAUAGCUCAACCUGUCGAGACCCGGGUAGACCCCCAGCUCAACCGGUUGAGAGUGCAAAAAACUUUCUCUUUCUUCCAGAAUGGUUGUUCAACCGGUCAAGGUUGAAUCUCAACUGGUUGAGGUCCGAUUGAGGUCCGGUUGAGGCCUAACGGUCACUUGCCAAACAUUAAAUGCUAACGGCUAGUCAACCCCUAACUCGAUCGGACGAACCCCCAAACGGCUAGUUUGACUUUUCUCUUUUAUAAAAAGGUUUCAAUCUUCAUUGUUUCAUAAGCUUAACAUUCCCAAACCUUUCUUGAUUAUAUUUGAGCCUUGGAAGAGUGUUUUUUAGUGCACCAUUGUUCUAAAACUUGCAUAUCCUUAGUGCACAUUUCAAUCCUAGUUUUCUUGUAUCAUUUGAGCUUAAAGUUCUUGUGCUAAGAUUUUUGUGAGAUCAUUUAUUUAUAAACCUUUGAGAGGAAGUUUCUCAAGAGUGUGGUAUCUCUUAAGAAGUGUAAAGGGUGCUUGGAGCCAAAAAUCCAAGAGGGUGAAUUGGAACCAUAAUCCAAUUGUAUUGCUUGAAGGCUUAGUUUGGAAGCCUUGAAUUAGUGAAACCUCAAGCUUAGGAUUGAAGCUAGAGGAUAGUGGAUGUAGGCUGGGUUGCGCCGAACCACUAUAAACUCUUGUGUUUACAUUCUCUCUUCCCUACUCUUUAAUUUAUAUGCAAUUGUCUUUAUAUUACUUAUUAUAUACUUGCAUAUAAAUUGUCUCUUACUUUAGCAUAGUUUAAAUUUGUAAAAAGAGACCAUCACCCUAUUCACCCCCCCUCUAGGGUGAUUACCAUAGGUUGGAUUAGCCUAAUAUUUCUAACAUAUUGCAUAGAGUCACCUAAAUGUUAGAAUCCGUCUAACUUCAUGGACUGACCAAGGUGGGUAUUUAUGGCUUUGUGUCCUUCUAGGUGGACAAGGUUCAUAGAUCUAAAUCUGACCCAACGACAUAUGAACUAAUUAGUUCAAACUUUGCAAAGAAUAAUAAAUGUUGCCAAGAUAAUCCAUGAGACUUUGUGGAUGAUGGGAAACCAUAAAAGAUAUUGGACGCUUGUGUUCAGACACGGUUACUUGAACCAAAUGAUCAAUCCCUCGGAGCCGAUCAUGCCAUUGAAGCAAAAGGUGUUGAUAAAACACAAUGAUUAUUCUUAUAAAGUAUUACAAUUAACCAUUGUUAGCCCAAGGGUUCUCCUAAUCGGGUUUUGAUGAUAGCAAACCAUGGUUAAGUGACUAAUUGGUUUAAUGUUUAAGAAUCUCAGGUAUAAACUCGAAAAUUCAUCAAAUGACCAAAUGGAUACAAGAUCGAGACGCUUGGAAGACUUAUGAUCAUAGGAAACUAAUGUAAGAUGAAUGCAUGAGUGCACUUAGGAUUUUCACACGUUUCAUGCAUCUUUGAAAACUUAGUUUAUUCUUUAAAACGUCGAUCUCAUUAAAACCCGAGUUUUUAACUAAUGUACCUUAGGCAAAAUGUUUCAAAAUUGGCUUAAUAAUUUACCUAAAGACCUUGCCUAAGUGUUAGAAAAGAAAGGAAUUAAAAAAAUAGGUUUUCGGGGCAAAAAAUGCUCAACCGAUCGAGGCUAUGGCCAAUCGACUCAACCAGUUGAGGAACCGGUCGACCGGUUGUGCUCGUCCAGUCGAGGAAUGUAAAAAACCUUCUCUCUCUCUCUCUCUCCCAGUAGCCUUCUCUUCCCAGUCGAGGUGUUUCUCUUACCGAUCGAGGUCCGGUUGAGGCAACGGUAACCUGUCAUGCAUUAAAUGCUCCAACAGCUAGUGAACCGGUCGACCCCUAGCUCGACCGGACGAGGUUACCUUUUGUUGUUUUUGACUCCCGAGCUUAGAAACUUAUAAAUUGAGAGCUCCACUUCAUUUAUUGAUAAGAGAACACUUGCAUUCAAUAGCCUACCUACCUGUUCUUGAUCAAAAAGCUUUCAUUUCUUUCAUAGUGCAUUAAAUCACCACUUGCAUAUCCUUUAGUGCACUUUUGUGUGUCAUCCUAACUUUGUCUUGUAUUUGAGCCAUUCUUAAGCUAGGUUGGGUGAUUAUAUCUUGUAAAAAUCUGAGUGUUAAAGCCUUCAAAAUGGUUGAAUCUUGAAGAGGUUGUGUAAGAGCUCAUUGGAGCCGGAAUCCAAGUGUAAGAAGAUUGGAAGCUUGGUUGAAGCUUCAAGUUAGUGGAACCCUCACUCGGUUAGGAGGUUGAGGAGAGUGGACGUAGGCAAGGAAGUGACGAACUACUAUAAACUCGAGUUUGAAUUCUCUAAACUCUAUCUCUUUACUUUGCUUAUAUUGUGUUUGAAUUUGUUGUAAUUGAAAAUAUUUUAAAAACUCAAUUCACCACCCCCCUCCCUUUUGGGUGUUUUUCUUAACUAAGCAUAACCUUUGUUUUCUCAACCAUCAUAGAAGACAUGUCCAAUAAUUAAUAAUCACAUUCAAAAAAGUUCUUUUCAACCAAUAAAAAUCCCAUACAGGUUUACAUGCCACCUGAAAAAUCAUAACAAUUUAAGCAAUGAUGGUUAUGAACAACAUUUAUAAAAAGUUAGUGGAUGUUAGUACUUUUAUUAACUUGAUCCUUAGAUUGACAUAAUUUAGGAUGCAAAGUUGUUCACCUUGACAUAGGUGGAUAGUUCAUGGGGUCAUUAGGCAUUUAGGAAAGUAGAAAAUUGAUUUAUAUUCAAAUACUAAUUAUUUAUUCAUAAAAAUGUUAUCAACAAAUAUAAUCCAAAAAGUGUUUUUUUUUCUUUUUAACUGUUGUCAAUAAGAUAAUACAAACUAAAAAUGCUUUUACAAGUCCUAAAUUAUCAAAUAAAGCUAUUCUAAAAUCCUUCUACUUCACUCACACAACCCAAAAUCCAAUAUCAUAUAAAUUGUUGAUUAUAAUUAUUAUUUACAUAUUCUUAUUUGAUUGUCACUUAUGGUUUAUUUAUUUAUUUAUUUUUAAAAAAAAAUUAAUGACUUUUCUUGUGGUAUUGGAAAGUAUUAAUAAAAAUAAAAGUCAGAUAGCCAAAAUAGCUUCUAUUUCUUCAAAUCCCAGUCUCAUUUCUUCACAUUUAAAUUUUUCAUUAUUAUUUUUUUAGUAUUUUGAUCUUUUUUAUUUAUACUUAGAAUCUUUUUUUUCUUUCUUUUUAACAAUUUUAUUCAUUGCAAAUGUAAAAUCCAUAGUAGCCUUUUCUAAAACAAUUUUUCAUGAACACCCCUAUGUCUAAAACUCAAAUAAGAAAACAUUCUUCUCAACUUAAUCUUUGUGAAAAUGUGAUGUCUUUAUGUAUAAUACAAAAGAUUUUAAAAUAUUUUUUAUAUUUUUAAUUAUUUUUCACAUCUCUAUUUGUUUUUUUGAAAAUAACUUAAAGUUCUAAAAAAGAACAUGCAGGCAAGGUUGAAAAUAACCCAAAAUUUCAAUGCAAUAUUUCAAAAUCUGUGUAUUAGUUGACCUUGAUUAAAAAAAUUCAUUCACCUGAAAGUUGGCCACUACCAUCUAUAUCUCUAUGAAUUUAUUGAUAUUUUCUAUAUUUCUCGUAAUUUUGCCCUCACAUAUAUAUAAACUUUAUUAAUAAAAUCUCUGACCAUCUCCAUACAAAAAGUAAAAUACUAAAAUAAAAUUAUAAUUAAUUAAUUAAUUAAUUUUAAUAAUCUUAUCUUUUGAUUCCAUUUUAUUUUUGAAAAUGUAAAAAUGAUCAUAAUGUUAUAAAAUAUGAGAAUUUACCGGAUUAUAAGAACUUGUGGAUGAUCAUCCAUAUUGAUGUAUAUCUCUUUGUAACUCCCUAUAAAAGGGAGAUACCUCUAAUGAAAAUCUAUUAUAUUCUCUUCCUACAUUCUGAUUUCUCUUUUUUGUUUUCUUCUCCUUUCACUUUAUAAUUUUACAACACCUUAUCAGCACCAAUAAUCGUUACAAAAGAAAGAGAAAUAUUUUUCUGUAUUUAGAGAAAUAAAAAGACUCUUCUCUCUUCUUUCUCGCAAAAGGUAUGUGAUAAACUUAUAUCACAAUUUUCUAUUUUAUUACCCUUUAAUCUCUAUUUUCAUUUAUUUUGAAUACAUAAAUAUUACAAUCCAUAUAAUCAAAAGUUAUGUGAUAAAUUAUAAAUAUGGUAAAUUCAUAACCAGAAUUUAUGAAAAAAUAUGUACAAUCUCUAUAACCAGAAGUUAUGAGAUAAAUUACAAAUUAUGAGAAAAAUUUAUAAUCAGAAGUUAUGAAAAAUAUGUGCAAUCCCUAUAACCAAAAGUUAUGGGGAAAAUGAUAAAAUUACAAAUACAUGACCAGAAGUUAUGUAUAUAAUCUCUAAUUAUUUAUGUUUAAUUAUACGGUAUAACUAGAAGUUAUACCAAACAAUAUUAUGACCAGAAGCUAUAAAAUAAAUAAAUAAAUAAAUGUUCAUAGCUUGAAGUUAUGUACAAAUUUACAUAAUGAAAGUUCAUAACCCGAAGCCGUGCACAAAUCUACCCAAUGAAUAGCUCAUAACCUAAAACUAUAUACAAAUUUAUAAAUAAAAAAAACAGUCCAUAGUCUGAAACUAUGUACAAAUUUAAAUAUUUUCUUGUUCUGAAAAAAUAAUCAUGACCUGAAACUAUGAAAGAUAUUAACUUUUAAUUUCUUUAAUUUCUUUUAAUUAUAUUGUAUAACUAGAAGUUAUACAUAAAUAGUCCAUAACUUGAAACUAUGUACAAAUUUGCAUAUUUUCUUAUUUUGACAAAACAAUCAUAACUCAAAGUUAUGAAAAAUAUUGGUUUUUUAUUUUUAUUUCGUACUCACUUAUUUUUCACAAUAGAAAUUAUGGAAAAACAAUUUUUAUUUACAAUUGUUUCAUAGCCAGAAGCUAUGCAUACACUUUCUAAUUCUCUUGUAUAACCAGAAGUUAUACAAAACAAAAUUGUCACUGAAUCUUUGAGCUAUGAUCAAAGAAGGAAAUCAAGCAUCCCUGCAGGAUCAUGCAAAAACACUGAUUUUCCUUCAUCAUCAUCUCCAUGAAGGUUUAACAAAAAAUGAGCUUUUGAUGAGAAAUCACUAGUCUCGUCCAACUAGAACUAAAUCAUUCCCUGAAGUGAAUGCAAUAUUAUCCUAAACUCGUGGAUGAUGACAAGAACGUGGUCGUGGUUAUGGAAGAAAUCCCUGAUACCAUAGUUCUUAUAGUAAUAAUUCACCAAAUUCUCAUAAAAUGAAAGUCUCAUUGCACCACCAGAAGUGGAAUAAUACUGAGGUAAAACAAGAAAAUGAGAAGUGUUUACAAGAUAAACCUUCUAAAAAUCAUGAGAAUAAGUGUUAUAGAUGUUUACCAGACAUCAAUAAAAGGAAAGGAAGUUGAAAUGAACUUCAUUGAUAGUGAUGGCCAAGUGGAUCUAACCCAUUUAGAUGUUUCGGAUUUCUAUGAGAAUCUUAAUGGAAAAAUUGACCAUCUAAUUGGUGAUAGAAAUGUUUGUCAUGAUUAAACAUUAUGUUUUUAGUUAGUUCUUUGCAAAUAGGUUUAUUUUGUUAUCAUCUUUGAACAUAUUGUUUAUUGUUCAUAUUUUAUAGUUUAUUUCACAUUUUAUUAUUUAUCAUUUAAAUUAUUUUCUUUAUUUAUACUUGAAGAUACAUGGAUCUCUCUCAUACCUUGAUCCAUCAUUACAAUUAGUUUGAUUAUUAAAAUACUUCCUAGUUAUUUCAUGUAUAAAUUGUUUCACACUUACAAAAUCAAAUGUGUGAGAUAGUUACAAAAUAUAUAAAUUAUCUUUUCAUAUUUGUUUUAUUGUGUUAUCUAUAUGCUUUCAUUGCUUUUACACAAUUUAUUAUGUCAUCGUCGACGACUAAUAUUUUUCUAUUGAUUUUAACUUUUUCUCUAUGAUAAUAUUUAUUCAACUCUAUAAAUUGAUUAAGCUUUAUUUGGGCUUAUUUGAGAUUUAAUAUGAAUUUUUAUUUUAUGGAUUAAGAAUAAUUUUCAAUGUUAAUUUUGUUCUAUAAAAUUUGGAUAUUAUGUUUUGUAAACGAAAUGAAUUUGUCAUAGGAAAUUGCUAACGAAUUUUGGGACAAAUUAUGUCUAUUUUCAAUGAUAAAACUUUUUUACUUUUACCAAUGAAAUAUUUCGUUGGCAAAAAGCUUGAGUGACAACCUUCUGACCAUAUUUGAAAAGAUGAAUUUGUUUCUUUUGCAUUAGUUGAGUUUCAAUAGGUCAUUUUCAUCUUUGUGAUUUAAAGUUGCUCAUCUUUUGUGCCUCUGCUUCUGAUGAUGAAAUUGCAGAUCAGGGGCCUCUCUACUUAGUACUACUGAUUGUUUAUCACACAAGCAAAGGAGAUGGCCAGAAGAUAUGGCCUGGCACCCAGAAGGAUCGGAAACAGCAUAUUUUUAUGUAUUCUCUAUGUUAAUUUCUUUACUUCUGGAAGGGAGUUCCAAUGCAGCAGCAUCUAUAGCUAGCUAGCUAAAAUGGCGAAACUUCAUGAUGACAUCCAAGACGAUUUUACAAGAAAGAAUCCACUCUCGGUCCUAGAUGUUCAAUCUAUCAACUUGAAAUUUAAAAUGCAAAAGCUAUAUAUGAGCACUCUUCUCAAUUACUGUUGGCUACAUAAAGCCUUAAUGCCACCUGUGGGGUUGAUUAGUAUGAAUCGUUUAAUGCUAUUCGCCUUUAUUUACUAGUAUAAUAUGAUAUUAAUCCCAUCAAUACUCUAACCUCCUCAUUGUCUUGUCACUUCUCUGUGCUAGUACCCUCUAUGAUCUUCACUGUACAUGGUCAAACUAUCUUCCCGACUCUCCCGUAUGUCGUCUCUAACACAAGUUGCCUCACCACUGAUUUCAUCUUCUUAUUCUAGUACCCUCUAUGAUCUUCACUGCAUGGUCAAACUGUCUUCCCGACUCUCCCGAAGGUUGUCUCUAACACAAGUUGCCUCACCACUGGUUCAUCUUCUUAGUACAAUAUCUUUUUCUGGCAUUGCUUUUCAUUCAACAAGAAUGGGUUCAAGGAAUAUAAAUUUUUAUUGAAACUAGAUAGAAAAGAUGGAUGAAUAGUGUGGAGUAAUAGGGCGUUGAACAAAGCAGGAAUAAGAAUACAAGAAAUGAAAUGUGUGCCUGAAGGACCAGCUGAUCAGCCAUUCAAUCACCACCAAAAGAAAGAAAAAGGAGAGAGAGAUAGAGAGAGCAUCCAAUACUGUGAUUUAUAACAGUAUAAAGAAGAAAAGGCAUCCUAAAAACUCGUUUGCCUUUUCAUUUGAUGGUAGGUUUGGUCCACGUGCCGACCGCAUGCAAUAACUACCUUGCACGUGAUGGGUUGGGUACUAAAAAGUUGAUGUCAUGUAAAUCAAUAACGUUAAUGUUAUAUAAUAUUUUAUUCAUUUAAUAAAAAUAUAAAAAAAAAUUAUAAUACAAUCAAACAAAAAUUUUAAGGGUCUAUUUAAUAAUAAAUAAAAAAAACAUGUUUGAUGAAUAAAAAAAUUGUUUUUUAUUUUUUUAUUUUAUGUUUUUAAAAAAUAAAAAUAUAUUUUUAAAUUAUCUUUUUAAAAAAUAAUUAUAUAUAAAUAACGGAGAAGGCAUAGAGACCACAUGGACCCCUCAUGCCACCUCCAUUCCUUUCCUUACUUUUAUAUUGAAGUUUUUCAUUUCAAAAACAAAUGAGAGGAAGUGUAUCCAAAGGACACUUAAUUAGAUGUUUAGUUUCUUAUUAAAUUUCUUGGAACAACAUCACAACAAAAACAGUGCAGUCUUUUGUUAAAUUGAAUCUGUGCUUAUUUCAGAACCCCUUCUUAGUAUUUAAGAAGAGAACCAGCAAAUUUCUUAGCAGUUUUGUACUCUUGUAUCUCUUGAGGAGUGGUGAAAGUGAUUAUUUGAAUCAGCCACCUUUAGCUAAAACUACUAUUUCCUUUCUGCAUGCAUUCUUUUCAUUCUCUUCAACUUUUAACUAUUUUCUUGAUUUUUAAUAAAUAUGAAUAAAUUUCAUAAUUACAAAAUAAUAGAAUUUAUGGAAUUAAUUCAUACAAAAAUAAAUUGGGUCUUUGUGAGAGCCCAACAUCCAUGAUACCAACUCUAAUUGUUUUGCUUGAUUAAUAUUAAUUGAUUUUGUCCCACUUCAUGAAUGGCAUGAGAUAUUUUGCACUUGUAUUAUUCAUUGACCUUGUUUUCAAUGGAAGCACAUUUCGACUUGUUGCUCAGUUAUACUACUCCUUUCCUCAUUUUCUCGUUCAAUUAUCCUUUGAUAUAUGCUUUGACCGUUGUAUAUCUCAACUCUUACUAGGUAUCCAUUGAUUAACCAAUUAAUUGUCACCUUUUGCUAAUUAGUAGAGACAUAACUUUAAGGCUUAAUAUCGUACCUUCCUAAUAGGUAACAUAAUCCUCAAAUUUUAACUCAAUUUUUGCAGACUUGUAUUUCUUUUCAAAAGUCGAACUUAGGGUUUUUUUUCUUAUUUAAAUUUUCUUUUAAAAAAUAAAACAAAAAUAAGUAACGACUUUAAGGCUUUUCUAAAAUGUCAUUUUUUCAUAAAUAAAAAGUAAGUCGCACCAUAUAAGAAAUGCUUGUCUAGGAAAAUUAAGGAUGAAAAUAUCAGUAAUUACAGAUAUAUUGGUAUUUCGAUUUUACAGAUAUUUUGAAAAAAAAUAUUGAUAAGCUUAAAAUUGAUCAAAAUUCAUGAAAAUGUAAGAAAAACGUCAUAAAAUGUAAUUAAAAGUAUAAUAGACAUUUUAAAGUGGUUUUGUUGAAGAGUUAAGUUUGAUAUAUGUAUAAUAUAAUUUAUCAUAUUUGAUAAUAAUAUCAUAUGCAUCAAUAAAAAAUAUGAAUUUUAUAAGUGUACAUUUAUUAUUAAAUUACAUAAAAUAUUAUUUCAUAAUAAUUUUGUGAUAUUUGAUUAUAAUAUAUCUAAUUUUAAAAUAUAUUUAAUAUUAAAAUUAUGAUUAAUUUAAUUCAAUUAUAUUAAAUGAUAUAAAAUAAAUGAUGAUGUAUGUACAAUUAUGAUAUUUAAUAAUAAUGUUUAUAACUUGAAAACAUAUUUUAUGCAGACUCAUCUAAUUUGGAUGUAUUUAAUGAAAUAAUAAUAAUAAUAAUUUGUAUAAGUAUUUUUUAUUUUAAAAUUUUGAUAAUUUUAUUCAAAAAUUUAUAUUGAUUUUAUAUGUAAUUAUUAUAUAAAAGUUAUAAUAAUCAAAAUUAAUUUAUUUAUAAUAAUUUUAGUAUGAUUAAUUUUAUAAUAUGGUCAUAUGCAAUGAAAACAGGAAUUAUGCCAUGAUUCAAAACAAAAAAGAGGGUUAAAAAAUACAAAAGAUAUCCAACAAUGAAAUUUAAAGAGAAGGAACCAAAAAACUUGUUAGUUCAUAAUAAGCUUAAAACCGACCAUGUAGGCGGUACAAAAUAAAAAACAUAAACUUAAAAAUAAAGCUUAAUUAAAACCAUCCAUAUAGGAGGUAAUCAAAACAUACUUAUAUUAUAUAUAAGGAGAAAUAUCUUACAAUGAACAAAGGUAGGAAAGCUUGAAGGGGUUACAUGAUGAAAGAGAAAGAAGAGAGAAGGGAGAGCAUAAGAGCCUAAAUUGAACGUGCUUACAAAUGAGGACCGAGCCUCCUUAAAUAGGCAAAAAAGGAAUCUUGAAUAGUAACCAUGAAUAGUAGACCCGUGCUUGAAUAGUGCUUGAAUAGUAAAAGUGAACAGUAAGAGGGAACUGUAGCACUUUUGACAUUUGUCCUAGAAUCUUGCUUUCGGCUGAAAUGACUGCUGAUCAAUUAAUCAGGGAGGAAUAUAUUCCGAGCGGUGAUCCAUUAGGAGCUGAGUAUCUUGAAUAGUGGAUUUGAACGGUAAAGGGUCAAUCUUUUUAUUGCAAAAUAUUUGAUGUAGGGAAUCCGCAGCAAUGAGAUGCCCCAUGUUUUUUGGGUAGGCUUCAAAGUCUCUGCUGAUGACUCUGGCUCUCCAAUGCUUGAUUUGCUUAAUAAUUGGCUCUCCGCAAAUGUCGGUUUGAACUAAGGGACUGGACAGAAGAGUAGGUCUUCUAUUCUGGUAAUGAAGAUUAACAUAGUGUUGGGCUGGAAGAACUUUGCCUCUAGAAAUCCAUUCAGGAGCUUUACUAAUAAAAAUGGCAUCAGCAAACUUCUUGUUUAACUUAAAUCCUUGGGUUAAGCUUAGAUUAACCUUUCUGCCAAAAUUGCUAGCUUGACUUGGAUCAGAACAGAUAAGUUGGUAAAGCAAUCCAUAAUCAAGAAGCUUUUCAGAAGUAAGGAUUAAAACUUCUCCUUUGAAAGCAAGGUUAAUUGGCUGGUAAUACUGUAGAUCAAUGCAGACUCUACUGAUAGUGAAAUUCCUAUUGCAGUUGCAAAUUGGCUUGUUGUCUUGUUGAUGAAGAAGUGGUUCAGUACAAUUUCUGCAAAGUUUUGAGCCAUCAAAUUCCAUUUCCUUGGUUAAAUUUAAUCCUGGAACACUGAGACCAAGAAUGGCUGAGAGAUAAAUGUGCAGAUCCUGAAGAUAAGCCGAAAUAAAAACUUGUUUUUCUUCUGCACUGGACUUGGCUUUUUCACAAAUUAGCUAAUAAAUAUCAUCUGGCUUGAGAGUGGACAAAAUCUCAUUACUUCGGUGAAACAUUCUAAAGAUAAUGCACUCCUGCUCAUCCUUACUUAAUUUCUCAUUCACCAAUGGGGUGAAUGGUUUUUUCUCACCAAUUUCCAGUGGGGAAAAAGGGGCUUGGCUUAUAUCUUUUUUGUGAAAAUUAACUAUUUCUAGCCUUUUUUCAAGGGUCCUGCACCUAGCCUGCAAAUCACAAAUACUCUUAUGAACAGAUAAGGAGUUAGUAUCAAAAGUAGAGAAGUCUAAGGGGAUAGGUUCUUCCACCAAAGGUAGAGAACCAGAAAUAUUUCCUUCUUCCAUAACAGGGGAGAAAGGAUGCUUAAGAAUAGAAGGAUUAGGAUCAGAAGUAGAUCCCUGAGAUCCCCAAGCAAAAUCAUAAUACAAAGGCUUGAAUUUUUCUGAUAAGAUUGAAUGAGGUUUCAUGUAAGAUGAUGAUUUCUUAAAGGAUUGCUUUUCUGUUUUGGGAGCCAUGAUCUUGUGAAUCCUGCAAAAUUUCACGAGUUAGGAAAUCAGGGAUUGAGUUAUUUUCUCCUUUAAUGUACUCAAUUUGAAAAUCAAAAUUGCUUAAAAUAGCUUGUCAUCUAGCAAAAAUAUGUUUAGAAGCUAUAUUUUUAACAUCUUUUUGUAAAACUGAUUUUGCAGAUUUGCAAUCCACUCUUAAUAAAAAUUCUUGAUUCAAAAGAUCGUCUUGAAAUUUUGAAAUGCAUAAAACGAUGCUUAAAAUUUCCUUUUUGAUGGUGCUGUAGUUGAGUUGGGCAUGGUUCCAAGUUCCAGAAGUGAAUCUAACCAACAAUUCUUGAUUAUUACUUCUUUGCUUAAGAAUUCCACCAAAACCUAUAUUAGAAGCAUCAGUCUCAACAAUCUUAAAGGCUUUAUGAUCAGCUAAUGCGAGACAUGGUAGGGUUUUGACUCUAGACUUUACUAUUUUAACAAUCUUGGUAUGAUCCUCAUUCCAAGGGACUGGAUUUUUCUUAAGUCUUUGUCUUAAAGGGGCACAUAAUUGGCUUAAAUCUUGUAUGAAAUCUGACACAUAAUUAAGGCUUCCUACGUUGCAAUUGUUUCUUAUCCUUAAUCUCAUCAGGGAACUUAUCAGCAAACUCGAUUGAUCUUUGAAUGGGGGUGAAUGUUCUUUGGUGAAUAUGAUGACCUAGGAAUCUUAUCUUAGUUUGAAAGAGGUUAAUCUUAGUGGCUAACAAGCUUAAACCAUUGCUCUUAACAGUUUCAAUAAACCUAUUGAGAUGUUUCCAAUGCUGCUCAACAGAAUCUGAAUAAAUCAAGACAUCAUCAAUGUAAACAAUAAUGAAAUCAGAAAACUGGUUAAAGAUUUCAUUCAUUAUGUUUUGAAACUCAGAAGGUGCAUUCUUAAGGCCAAAGGGCAUUACAUUCCACUCAUAAUGACCAAAUGGGACCACAAAGGCUGUUUUGUAUCUAUCUUUUUCCGCAAUUUGGAUUUGCCAAAAUCCAAAUUUCAUGUCAAACUUAGAGAAAACUUUGGACUUCCCUAAUCUUUGAAGGAGGUCUUUUUUAUUUGGGAUAGGAUACCUGAUCCAUCUUAAAACAUCAUUGAGGGGCUUAUAGUUGAUGACUAGUCUAGGUGUUCCUCUUUCAAGUUCAGCUUGUUUCUGAAUAUAAAAGGCAGAACAACUCCAAGGGGAUUUAGACUUCCUUAUCAACUUCUUAUUCAUGAGAUCCUGGAUUUCUUUUUCAUAAUAGCUUAACAAAUCCUUGUUCAUUUGGAUUGGUCUAACUUUAGUGGGAAUAUUUUUCUCACUAAAAUCAAGCUCAUAGGGUAAUCUUACCUCAUGCUGCUUCCUGUGCCAAAAAGCAUUAGGAAUGUUAGAGCAAACUUCCUUAAUAAUCUUAUUCUUAAGGUUUUCUAUAGCAUCUUGGGUUUUCUUAACCUUCAGUUGAUCUUCUAUUCUCACCAGAGCAAUCUCUUGUUUUAAGAUAUUAAUAUGAUUUUGCUUAGCCUUAAUCACCUGAUCUUUUAUGGUGUUUAUACUUCUUUCUCCAGGUGGAUUGGCAAAUUCAAACAGAAUUUCCUUAUCUAAAAGCUUAGUUCUUAUACCUUGAUCAUCUACCCACAUAGGAAAGAUGGAGCUUAAGAAAGGGACUCCAAGGAGAACUUUCUCCUUGAGAUCUUUAACAAGAAUGAAGGUUUGCUUAAUGCAAAUGCCUUGGUUACAAAUAUGGGCAUUCGAUAGCUUGUACUUGAUAAUAAGCUUUUUACCAUUAGCACCAAAGAGAGUUUGCCUGGUUUUCUCAUAAAAUUGGGUAGGUACAAGACCUUCUUGUAGACAAUUCAAAGCUGCACCUGAAUCAAUUAAAGCAAUAAUAUCAAGGAUAAAUUUAUUCUUAAUUACUAUAGUAAGGGAGACUUCCCACCUUUGGAAGAUAACUUUACUAAUAGUAUUUAAGUAUGCAUUUAUCUUAUCACUAUUGUCUUGUGAAGAUUCAAGAACUUCUUCAAAGUCUUCCUUUUUAGGACUACUGUGGUAAAAACCUACUCUGUUGAUAUAAUCCUGAGGGAUAGGGAUUUCUGAGCUUGUGGGUUGUCUUAGGUUCUCAAUAUCCUUCUUAUACUGCCCUAUUUCUUCUUGAAGAUCUUUAAUAGUCAGGGCAUUAAGGAUAAUCCUUUUUUUCUUGUUUAUCAUUAUGAUCCUUAAAAGGAUUUUGGAUAGAAGGUUCUCUAGUUAGCCUAAUUAGUCCAUUAUCCUUUGCUUUUGGACUAAUAUUCCUUUUAACCAAAAGGAUUCUCCUAUGGGAAGGUUGAAGUGUUUCAUGGAUAGUAAAGGUUUGAGGUGUUUCAAGGAUAACAAGAUUAUCUUUAACCUUUUGGCUUAUUCUAUCAAUGAAAGCUUGAUCAAUUUGAGGAUUUUCCUGGAAUUUCUUAGAUAAUUCAAAAGGCUUAAACAAAGGCUUAUUAUCAUUCUUAACAAAAGGCUUCUUAAGGUGAUCCUGAGUUUCAAUAAUCUCCUCAACUCUGUUGACUUGAUUUCCAAGGGUUAUGAGAAACAUAUUAGUAUAAUUGAUUUGUUCCAUAAUCCUUCUAAUAUCGGAUGCACUAGUAGUUCCUUUAUCCUCUGGCUUAGUCUUAAAAGGUGAAGCUAUGACUAUGGUUCCAUUAAUAUUCUUUUCUAUCUUAGCUUCAGGAGGAUGAAUGGAUUCCAUAACAAUGUUGUCACUAGUUUUCCAUAUCUUAGCUUUUGUAGAGGUGUUGUUGAUAUGCUUACAAGGAUAAUUUGGAUAUUCCUCUUGUUUGAAGAGUUCAAACCAAAUCCAAAACUUAAUAUUUUUCUUUUCUUGUCUUAAGUAGGCAUAGAACUCUUCUUGGUAAAUGGUUCUAAUGACCUUAGGGAUAGUGCUAAAGAACCAAUCAUUUCUUUGCUUAUUGACUUCAAAAUAGAAGUCCUUUCUUAAGAGAUCCUUGUUGAUCUCAAAGUCCUCAUCACUUAGGCUUAUUGUGUUAAUCAUCUAGGAAUAGGUAGGAGACAUAACAGGGGACUCAUCCUGUUGGGAUUCCUGAGUAGACUCAUUUUCCUGAGAGUAAAAUGGUCUAGCCACAUUGGUGUAACUUCUGACACCUGUUAGCUUAACGUUCUUAGGAUUUCCUGAGCUGGAUCCUUCUUCUUCCCUAGUGGUUCUAACUGGGAUGGAAGAGCUUGAAGCUCUAGAGGGUUCAUAAACAGAAACUCUAGGGCUGUUAGAAUGUCUGAAAGAUUUGGAAAAAACGAGUUCUCCUCUUCCAUCUGGAUAUUGAACUAUUUGUUCAAUACUUUCAGAACGCUGUGCUAUGGCUGGAACAGCAUUAGCAAAAUGCCAAUUUUCAGGGAAAUCAACAUCUUUCCACAAGAUCUUCUUGGGGAUGAUGAAAUCUGACUUAUCUAGCAUAUCUGAGUGAAAGUAAGUGGUCUCACCUUUAGGACUGGUGCAAAGAGCCCCAGAUCCAACGCUUGUGUUCAUGCUCUUAUAGGCAAACCUGGUUAUGAUUGAAACAGGACUGUUUCCUGGUUUGAUCUUAAAGCCAUGGGUCUUAAUAUGCAGGACAACGGAAUCUAAGAUGUCUGCAUCUUUUAAUCUAACUGUGAAGUUAGGAUAGCACUGGAAAUAAACUGGGCCAUCAUUCAGUCCAGCUUGGACUGCACCUAUAAUAGAAUCUCGAUAUUCGAGAUGCCUAUUAUCCCUUAAACACAUGACAAUAGCGGUGUUUAAACCUAAUCUUGUCAAAGGCUUAGCUGCUACUUGAAUCAUACCAAAGUGUAUGAAAUUAUAGUCAUCUUUCUUAUGCUUUUCAAUGGAUCUGUUAUCUAGAAGUCUUAUGACUUGGUCGUCUUGUUCUAAACUGACUGUCAUUUCAGAGGUCUUAAUGGUAUAAUCUGUGAAGAACUUAAAGGUUCCUUUCUUAUAAAUUUCUUGAUUAGACACCUUGGGUAACUUCCAAUCAUCUAAAUCAUUUUGGAUCUUAGGAUAAUUGAUCUCUUCACUGUUUACAACAGUAUCUUGAGAAUCACUGGAUCUCCUAGACAUGGUUCUGAAAAUUGAACUCAUUUUAGGGUUUUUGAUCUAGAGCCUAAUAGCAGAUUGACAAACCUUAUGAGACAUCACCCCAACCCUCUUACAGCCUAACAAACGCCUAUCCACGGCUAACAACGGCUCAACCGGCAGGGCUCGCGCUCCUAGGCACACUACUACCUAUCCUAGGAUAGGCCAAGAACACCCAAAACAAGACCCAACUUCCCUCCCACAUGGCUCUGAUACCAUAGACACCCAGGACAAGGUCACAUGCAAUGAAAACAGGAAUUAUGCCAUGAUUCAAAACAAAAAAGAGGGUUAGAAAAUACAAAAGAUAUCCAACAAUGAAAUUUAAAGAGAAGGAACCAAAAAACUUGUUAGUUCAUAAUAAGCUUAAAACCGACCAUGUAGGCGGUACAAAAUAAAAAACAUAAAACCGACCAUUUAGGCGGUACAAAAUAAAAAACAUAAACUUAAAAAUAAAGCUUAAUUAAAACCAUCCAUAUAGGAGGUAAUCAAAACAUACUUAUAUUAUAUAUAAGGAGAAAUAUCUUACAAUGAACAAAGGUAGGAAAGCUUGAAGGGGUUACAUGAUGAGAGAGAAAGAAGAGAGAAGGGAGAGCAUAAGAGCCUAAAUUGAACGUGCUUACAAAUGAGGACCGAGCCUCCUUAAAUAGGCAAAAAAGGAAUCUUGAAUAGUAACCAUGAACAGUAGACCCGUGCUUGAAUAGUGAAUAGUGAAUAGUGAAUAGUAAGAUUCACUUUUAUACCGAAAUCCCCCGAAACACCCUUUUUCGGCUGAGAAGACUUCUGGCAAGCUGCUUUAUAUUGUGUAGACACAUGCUUGCUGCUUUUGAAAUAGAAACUGCAAGGCUUGUAAAAAAAAACUCUUGAUGGAAGACAAAAAGGCUGAUGAUUACUUAGAUUUUCUUAUUGGAGGAAGGAUUCCUUCACAGUCAUCACCAUUGUCUGGAAGGUAGCUUGUUGAAUCGUCAGACUCUGCAUAAGAAUUUUCUUGGGAGAAGCUUGAGCUUCCUUCUUCAAGGAUUUUCUGAAACUCUUGAGGGGUCUUAGCUGCUGCGAGCAUGGCUUGUAACUGUUGCUUUUUGAGGAGAAACUGAGACAUAUCAUCACUGGCUGAGACUUGUAAGGGGUUCUUGAGGAAAUACUGCUUGACUGCAUUAGUAGAUGCAUCAUUUUUCAAUGCAUCCCACCAUUUAGUUUUAAAAGUCCUUCCCAAAUAUGGAAAGACUGCUAAUUCGUCUGUAAUAAUAAUAUAGUCCCACUGGACUAUCCAAGCCAGGACAAAAUUGCUGAAAAAGAAUAGUAAAUGGGGAAAAGCUGAAAGUUCUCUGGGAAUAUUAAAAGAACUUCUGAAUAGCUCAAAGCCAUCCAAAAUGGGAUUAGGAAGAAUCUUAAUAGUUGGGCCAUAAUAAGUCCACCAACUGUAGAACCAAAAUGGGAAAGAGGAAAGCUGGUUCUUAGAUGGAAAAUAGAACAUCCAUGAAUGAUGGAAGUCUCUAUUCUGGAUCAGAAAAGCAUUAAACCAUGCUCUCUGAUAAUCCCAAUAAUUAAAAAACCUUGGCUUAGAUGGUUCAAAAAAUUCCCUUGAAAGAUUAGGAUUUCCACCCCAUUGCUUGACUGUAAGGAUCUUAUAGAUAUGGCAGGUGGAGAAUGCCAAGCCCAUAUUGCUGAAUUUAUUAACGUUAUGCUUAAUCUUAACAGAACCAGUUUCUAUAAGGACUGCUUCAUAAAACUCUCUUGUUUUUAAAAUAUCACCAGAGGGAUAAUGAAGAUUUUCUUGAAAUGCUUUUGCAGCAAUCUCUCUGGGGUUUUCAGAGAAAAAUUCUCUUUCAAUAACUAAAAGAGAUUGAUUUAAAUCAUUUUGCCAAUAUCUUGAUUUUGUUGAAAGAGGUGUGGGGUUGGCAACCACCACAAUUUGUUUGCUUGAAAAAGAAGAGCUUGUUGCUAAUUCCUUUUAAGAGGGAUUAGCCAUAGUAACCUGCUUAAAGGUCUGAGACCCUGAGGUAGCUGGAUAUUGUGUUGACUUAACCGGUUUAGAAUGAUCAGAAGGAUCAUAGUAUAAGGUCAACAUUUUGUUAGGCAUAUGGCUGGAUUCAUGCAUAGGUUUAGAAGAAUGAAGCUUUGCCAAAAGUUGUGCUUCUUCCUCUUCAACUUGUUGACUCCAAAGCAUUUUAUGGGUAGAAGGAGAUUGGUUAGCUUGACUGGAUUGGGGUUUUUGAGAGCUAGAAGCUUGGGUAUUCUUUUUAGGGGCCAUGAUCUCAUGAACCCUGCAAAAUUCACGAGAUAGCUGAUUAGGGUUGAAAUAAUCUCCUUUAAUAAAGUAACUUUGAAACUUAGAUUUUAAAAUAAUAUACCAGUUAAUUAAAUCAUACUUAAAAGUUAUAUAUUUAAUUUUUUCAAAAUCUUUGAAAAUAAUUUUUAAUAAAAAUUCUUGAUUCAAAAUCCCAAUUUGAAAUUUUGAAAUGCAUAAAGAAAUGCUUAAAAUGUCAUUAUGCAUGAACUGGUUGCCUAUUAGCUUACUUGGGACAUCUAACCCAACAAGGUUAAUUUCUUGGUUAAAAGGAGUGAUGCUUAUAGUUGGAUUAGCAAAUUCAAAAAGAAUUUCCUUAUCAAAAAGCUUAGUUUUUAUACCUUGGUUAUCUACCCACAAGGGAUAAAUAGAGCUUAAGAAGGGUAUUCCUAGAAGGGCUUUUUCAUUAAGAUCCUUAACAAGGAUAAAGGUUUACUUAAUACAGACGUCAUGGUUACGGAUAUGAACAUUUGUUAAUUUAUACUUAAUGGCAAGUCUUUUGCCAUUGGCUCCAAAUAGAGACUGACUAGUCUCUUCGCAUAAAGGAAUAGGUACAAGACCUUCUUGAAGGCAAUUUUCAGCUGCUCCUGAAUCAAUCAAAGCAAUAAUAUCAAAGAUAAAUUUAUUUUUGACUACUAUAGUAAGGGAGACUUCCCACCUCUGGAAGAUAACCCUACUCACAAUAUUCAAAAAAGUAUCUGUCUUAUUAUCAUUAACAUGAGAAGAUUCUGGAAUAUCCAUAUGGAUUUCUUGGUUGUCAAUUCUAUUGAUUUGAUCUUGGAGAUCAGAGAGACCUAGACUUAUGAAUUGUCUUAACUCCUUAAUCUCUUUUUUAUGCUGCUUAACUUCUUCAUGAAGUUCCUUAAUGCUGACAUCCUUGGGAGACUGCUGGUCAAACCUGUUUAAGAUAUCGUUAAGGUUAUAAGGAUUAACAGUCUUCUUGGCUUCUACCUUAACAACAGAUUUCUUAAAAACUUCAUAAAGAUUUUGCUUAGUCUUUUCAUCUUCAACUUUUCUUAAAGUAUCUAGGAUGAAUUCCUGAUCUUGGCUUAUGACAUUUAUGGUUUUAGAACGACAAUUACAAUUACCCUUAAUACAAACAUCUUGGUCACUAGAAGAUUGGCUAGAAACAUCGCCACUGCUAUCUAGUUGAUUAAUAUCAUCUUCAUUAUCUGAAUCAGUCCUUGAUUCAGAAUCUGAGGAGUUUAACAUUACCUUACAAAGCAUAUUUUUUAGGUCAUCUGAAACACUUAAGUUAUUAAUCUUUUGCUUAACUCUACAAUCUUUCUUAUAAUGGCCAACUUUGCCACAUUUAAAACAGAUAAUUGGCUUGACGUCUAAAAGAGUUUCUACCUUUUUCUGGGUAUCUUUGUUGACCUUUCUUUGGACGUGCCUUGAAUGCUUAGUAUCAUUCAUCCUAUAGUUGUCAUGGGUACCUCUCUUACUGUGGUAAAACUUAUCUUUGCUAGGCUUCCUACUUGGUUUUUGCUUAGAGGGAGGCAUAGUUUCUUUUUGGCUGAAACCAAACUGGCUACAGAAUUAUCCAAAUUCAUUCUUGUAGAUUUUUUGUUCAUUCUUCAUUUGUUGCUUAAGCUUGAAGUCAUUGCACAACUUAAUCCCUUCAGCUGUGACAAUGCUUAUAAUCUCACCAUAGGUUAGCUUAUCAUAAGGGAUUUGACCGUUAUACUGUUCCCUUAUCUUGAUCCUAAUUCUCUCAGAGAAAAGCUUGGGUAAACCUGAGAUGAAUUUUUCUUUCCAAAAAGACUGGUUACAAUCUGACCUUAGCAUGACUUUGGUUAGGAAGACUUCCUUAUACCACCUAAAAUCAUGAAGCUUGGGACACUUAAGGUUGGUUAAGAGAUCUGCAGUUUUAUCCUUAAUUUUUGCAGGAUCUCCAAUGAAGUGCUUGGAUAUUGAGUAGAUUAAAGUACCCACUGCAUCCUCAAUAUCUUGGCCAUCUUCGUCCUUAACAACUUCAUUACUCUCAUUAAUCCUAUAGGCUUUAAGGAUACUAUUUCUAUCAUAAAAAGUGAGAUAAUUAUCCCACCAACCCUUAAGCUGACCUGUAAACCCAUCAACAAUGGUUUGAGUUACAGCAUGAUCUGGCAGUCUAUUGUUUAAUUUAUAGGUUGUACUUACCAUGGUCAUUUCUUGAAGCUUAGUGAGUAUGUUAUACUCGGUCAUACCAUCUAUGUUCCAUUCAUAGAUAGUACCACUGGUGUAUGAGGCUUGAGUAUACUGAUUUCUUUCCUCAAACUGCAUGUCAGGAAAAGUAGGCCUAGGAUAGUAAUUCCUAGUCUUAAAGGUUUCCAAGUUGUUAAUAAUUUGAUUAUGGGGUUCCUCAAACAUCUUAAUUAGUUCAUCAGCUUCUUCUUCUGAACUAAUAUCACCUUUAACCAUAUUGAUUCUUUUAUCAGGCUGAACAGUCAAAGGGGCAACAAGAUUAUCCUUAAUCUUCUGAUUAAUCCUAUCAACAAAAGCUUGGUUGAUGUGGGGAUUUUCUUGGAAUUCCUUAGAGAAUUCAAAGGACUUAGUUUUAUCAGUGCUCUUAGUGUUGUUAAUAUGCUUACAAGGAUAAUCUGGAUAUUCCUCUUGUUUGAAGAGUUCAAACCAAAUCCAAAACUUAAUAUUUUUCUUUUCUUGUCUUAAGUAGGCAUAGAACUCUUCUUGGUAAAUGGUUCUAAUGACCUUAGGGACAGUGCUAAAGAACCAAUCAUUUCUUUGUUUAUUGACUUCAGAAUAGAAGUCCUUUCUAAAGAGAUCCUUGUUGAUCUCAAAGUCCUCAUCACUUAGGCUUAUUGUGUUAAUCAUCUGGGAAUAGGUAGGAGACAUAACAAGGGACUCAUCCUGUUGGGAUUCCUGAGUAGACUCAUUUUCCUCAGAGUAAAAUGGUCUAGCCACAUUGGUGUAACUUCUGACACCUGUUAGCUUAACGUUCUUAGGAUUUCUUGAGCUAGAUCCUUCUUCUUCCCUAGUGGUUCUAACUGGGAUGGAAGAGCUUGAAGCUCUAGAGGGUUCAUAAACAGAAACUCUAGGGCUGAUAAAAUGUCUGAAAGAUUUGGAAAAAACGAGUUCUCCUCUUCCAUCUGGAUAUUGAACUAUUUGUUCAAUACUUUCAGAACGCUGUGCUAUGGCUGGAACAGCAUUAGCAAAAUGCCAAUUUUCAAGGAAAUCAACAUUUUUCCACAAGAUCUUCUUGGGGAUGAUGAAAUCUGACUUAUCUAGCAUAUCUGAGUGAAAGUAAGUGGUCUCACCUUUAGGACUGGUGCAAAGAGCCCCAGAUCCAACGCUUGUGUUCAUGCUCUUAUAGGCAAACCUGGUUAUGAUUGAAACAGGACUGUUUCCUGGUUUGAUCUUAAAGCCAUGGGUCUUAAUAUGCAGGACAACGGAAUCUAAGAUGUCUGCAUCUUUUAAUCUAACUGUGAAGUUAGGAUAGCACUGGAAAUAAACUGGGUCAUCAUUCAGUCCAGCUUGGACUGCACCUAUAAUAGAAUCUCGAUAUUUGAGAUGCCUAUUAUCCCUUAAACACAUGACAAUAGCGGUGUUUAAACCUAAUCUUGUCAAAGGCUUAGCUACUACUUGAAUCAUACCAAAGUGUAUGAAAUUAUAGCCAUCUUUCUUAUGUUUUUCAACGGAUCUGUUAUCUAGAAGUCUUAUGACUUGGUCGUCUUGUUCUAAAUUGACUGUCAUUUCAGAGGUCUUAAUGGUAUAAUCUGUGAAAAACUUAAAGGUUCCUUUCUUAUAAAUUUCUUGAUUAGACACCUUGGGUAACUUCCAAUCAUCUAAAUCAUUUUGGAUCUUAGGAUAAUUGAUCUCUUCACUGUUUACAAUAGUAUCUUGAGAAUCACUGGAUCUCCUAGACAUGGUUCUGAAAAUUGAACUCAUUUUAGGGUUUUUGGUCUAGAGCCUAAUAGCAGAUUGACAAACCUUAUGAGACGUCACCCCAACCCUCUUACAGCCUAACAAACGCCUAUCCACGGCUAACAACGGCUCAACCAGUUGGGCUCGCGCUCCUAGGCCCACUGCUACCUAUCCUAGGAUAGGCCAAGAACACCCAAAACAAGACCCAAAUUAAUCAAUUGAAGCAUGGUUGCCCUAAGGGUCUCCAAAAAGCCCGCGGCCCACGGCCUGGCCCAGGGCUGGCCCGCCACUUAAAAAUAUAUAUAUAUAUAUAUAUAUAAAAUAUUCAAUAUAUAUAACUAAUGCAAAAUAGUUACACAAAAGAGGGUCAACUCAGUUGGUGACUAGCUCUUUGCUUAUGGAUCCAUAUCCCUUUCCCUUCAAAACUCAAAAGUAUUUUUUUUUUAACCCAAUACCCACACAAGCCCGCCUAGCCCAGCCUCCGCCCAACCCAGCCCGCCCGCUCAUCUUGAGGGCCCACAGGCUGGGGCACAGGCCUUAGAUUUACCAAGGGCCCGACCCGUUGACCAGUCAACGGGCUCAGUGGCCCGCCCCGGGCUGGGCUGCUUGUUAUGCUUGUUAUUUAGAGCCAUUGCGGGCUUUAGGUAUAUGAGCCACAGUUACUAAAAUUGCCCAGAAACAAUCAUACUGGUGGAUAUAUAGAUAGCAUUUCAUCCCACCAGACUGUCUUGAUUUUAAAACAAAAUUAGCUUAUGCCAUGAACCAUAAUUUCCAUGAUAUCAUCAUCCAUUCUGCUCUAAUGCAUAACCAGCAGCUUUAGUACCCUAUAUAUAGCUUUGGAAAAUGGUUUUGAAUCAUCACCUGAUGCAUAUUCUUGAACCAUAUUGUCCACCUCAAUUGAACUGCACUCUUGUUCUUACUACUCAUGAGUUUCUUCAUCCUCGAUACACCAUCCCACUUUCCCAAGUCUGCAUAAAGAUUUGAAAGCAAGACAUAGUUCCCCGUAUCGUCUGGUUCAAGCUCUAGCAGAUGCUCCAUUGCAAUGGCUGCAAUCUCGAGAUUGCCGUGAGUUCUGCAGGAACUCAAUAACGAACCCCAAAUAGCCGAAUCUGGCUUCAUUGGCAUCUUCUUUAUGAGUUCAAGAGCCAGAUCAAGGCACCCAGAAAAGACCAAGAAGAUUGACGAAACAACCAUAAUGCUCAACCCCUGGUUCUAUAUUGUCAUCUCUUUACAUUGACUCAAAGUACUUCAAUCCCUCAUUCCAAAGGCCAGCAUGGGCACAAGCUGAUAAAAAGACCAACAAAGGUGAUGAAUUAUUGCUGAAAAUCCCUGGUCCUAUAUUGUCAUCUCUUUCAGUCAUUCCCUCAAGAGAAUUUUCAAUCACUGUAUUGGACUUUGGCCCAAAUUUGAACGCAUGCCCAUGAACUUGUUUUCCCUGAUCAUAACACAAGCCCUGCACAUGAUUUAACAACAAAUGAGAAGGUGAAUUUGUCAGGAAAUGGGAUUUUCACCAUGGGAGUGUCCAACCAUUUGCUUGUAAACAGUGAUUGCUAGGAUGUGACCUUUGUUAUGCUUAUAAGCUCUGAUCAUUGCAUUGUACAAGAAAGCAUUUGGGUCAGCCACCCUUUUGAAUAACAAAUUUGCAUACUCUGCUUCUCCAUGGUGAUUACACACAUCCACCAUUUUUGUCACCAAAAAGCUACUUUGUGAGAGUGAAAACUUGACUAUGUGGGCAUGGAUUUUCUUCAAUUCUACCAUGUUUGGGCAGUUUUUCAAGAUGGGUACAAACAUAUCUGCCAUUUCUCUGAUUUUCAAGGCCCUGAGCUUCCUGGCCAUUGAUGAUCACGUGGCCAGUGACUUCCAGUUUGAAAAUUUGUCAAGUUCUUGAGGCUGUCAUGGUCCCAAAGUUUCUGACAGUGAUUUCAAAUGGUUAUACUCCAUUCUGGGGUUUCUGACAGCCUUCAACUUUGAACCUUCAUUAAGGAAAACUCAACAAGGAAUCAAACACUUUGCAUCUGAUUAAAAGGGUGAUUGAAAACAUGACGUUGGAAGAAUGGUCUUGUUUAGGAAAAAUAAAAUAUAACUAUUUUUGGAUAAAAAUACAAUUUAUUAAUUUUCAAAAUCUUAUAUCUCAUCAAACACUUGUUAGAUAAAAAAAAAAAUAGAUUAAAUAUGUCAAAAUGAGGUUAUACGUAUAAUUUUCAGUAAAUAAAAAUAUUUUUUUCAAAUAUAAUUAUGGUCCCCUGGUUUUAAUCAAACAUGUCUAUUAACUUAAAAACCCUAAUAAUUAUGACUCAUAUCAUUUAAUUUUCUAAUUGAUAAUUAGUGAAAUUUUUUUAUCAAAAGUCUCGUCUCUUUUGAAUUAUUAUUAUUAUUAUUAUUAUUACUUGGUAUGGAAACAAAGGUAACUAAAAAAUAUAAUAAUAUUUUUUGUUUCAUUCACAAUUUGAGGCGAAAAAAUUUAUUAUUGAAACGAACUUAAGUAUUUAGAAGGUAACUCGAAAACCUUAUUUUGAUUCUCAUUCCUCUUGUUUAAUUUUUUUACUUCCUUUGCCAAUAAUUUAAUAAAUAUGUCAUAAAGUUGACCAAUUAAAUUGAUUUUAUAUUUUUUUUACAAAAAUAAUAAUUAAAAUAAAUCAAAAUUUUUAUAAUACUUUAUGACUAAAUAUAUAUUAUAUAAUACAAUCCAAAUCAUGGUAAUUUCAUUAAAUGUUUAUCAAUUUGGCUUUAUUCAAACCAAGUAAGAAUUUUAGUAAUCUAGAAUUAAAUCCAUAAUUUCAGGUUUCUUCAAAUUAAACCUAUAAAAUUCAAAAAAAAAACACAUUAACUAUAAAUAAUGAAAUUUUACAUUGUACUAAGCUUUCUCCACAAAAGGAAUUUAUCAAUAUGGAUUGACAUCAAGUCCAUGAAUGGCAUUAUAGUAAAGCUCCCAAAUUUAGAAUUUUUUACCAUAAUUUGAUUAACAGAGAAUAUGGUUUUCUUUUUCCCUUUUUGAUCUAUUUUGCCAUAUUUGAGAGAGAUUUGUUUCCUCCCUAUCUUUGGAUGGUAGAGAAUCCAGCAUCAUCAAUGAUUACCAUUCUAUAUAAAUCAUCUCUUUUCACCUAAUUGCUAUAGCAGCUAUCAAUCAUACCCUAAGGUAUGUUUCUCUUUUCUGGUUUUUUUUUUUUUUUUUUGUGAAUAAUUUCUUAUAGCAGUAUUUAAAGAGGUAUCAUAUAUUUGUGAUCAAAAUUAUUUGUCUUCCUAUGCAGGAGAUGUCUAAGCCCCAAGUAUUCCUCCAAUGCCUCCUGCUCCUCCUGUGUGCAGAGCUCUUCCAUUUCACACUUGCUGAUGUUGGCGUGGCAGCCCAAUACAGACCCCCAUAUCUACGUAAACCCCUUUCACAAUCAAAAGCUAUUAACCUUGUUAAUUGACCAGGGUGCAACUUAGGCAGGUUAACUCAAACCAACCCGAAUUAGGUUUGAAUUAAGUUUUUUCAACUCGAAUUCAAAUUGGGUUGAAUUCAACGAAGUUUGGACAUACUUAACCCUAACCCAGUUUAAUAUUCAUUCAAUUUGUUUUAGAUUUUAACAUUUAGAAAAACUUGAAUUUAAGCAAGUUUGGAUAGUCAUUUUUAAUAUUCAAGUUGGAUUUAGGUUAAGCUUUUUUAACUCGAAUUCAAUUUAGGUUGAACCCAACCAAGUUUGAACAAACCUAAUCCUAACCAUAUUUAAUAUUUUUUUUAAAUUUAUAAUACAUAAUAUUCAUUUUGUUUUAGAUUUUAUGAAAAAUAUCUUAUUAUGAUUAUAGUUUAUAUAUUUUUUAAUUUUUCUAGAAGACAAUUUUUUUUUAUAAACUUAAAAUUUUGUGUUAUUCACUAUUUAAAUUUUAGUAUAUAUACUUUUUAUUUAUUUAUUUAUUUUUUUAAAUGAUGUAUCUUGAAUCAUAGAACGUGACCAACUUUGAGUUUAAUAUAACUAAUUUGAGUAUAAUUUGAUCAAGUACCUUUAGAAACUAUGUUAAGUUUGAGUUGAUUGUUUAUUAAUUCCAAUUGACUUUGGGUUAGCCAUUAAUCCUAUGCAACUAGCCCAAGGUCGGAUUUAUGGUUAAGCCAAGUUUAACCGGAUCACCCUCAAAAAAUGAGAUUAGAUUAAAGUUGAGUUUGGAUUAGCCAUCAAUCUGAUUCAAUCUGUCCAAGUUGCAACCCGAUGCUAAUUAACCUCCAUAACCGAAAUUAAACAAAGGUGUUUGCGGGUUUUAUGAAUGCAGCCACAGCCUGUUCAGGAAACGAUCCAUCCCCGUUCCCAUCAAGCAACUUAUUUGCAGCAGCGGGGGAGGGAGCGUGGGACAAUGGAGCAGCUUGU
rnacentral:lncRNA from 1 species